AUACUUACCUGGCAGGGGAGAUACCAUGAUCACGAAGGUGGUUUUCCCAGGGCAAGGCUUAUCCAUUGCACACCGGAUGUGCUGACCCUUGCGAUUUCCCCAAAUGUGAGAAACUCUACUGCAUAAUUUGUGCUAGUAGGGGACUGUGUUGGCGCUCUCCGCAG
rnacentral:snRNA from 1 species